UCCCUGGUGGUUCAGUGGCUAGGACUCUGUACUCAAAAUACAGGGGGCCCCGGGUUCAACCCCUGGUCAGGGAA